rnacentral:rRNA from 1 species
CCCUUAGAUGUCCUGGGCUGCACGCGCGCUACACUGAUGCGUCCAAUAAGCACCUAACCUAAUCCGAAGGGACCGGGUAACCUUAGCAAAGCGCAUCGUGAUGGGGAUAGAUUAUUGCAAUUAUUAGUCUUGAACGAGGAAUUCCUAGUAAGCGCAAGUCAUCAGCUUGUGUUGAUUACGUCCCUGCCCUUUGUACACACCGCCCGUCGCUCCUACCGAUUGAAUGCUCAGGUGAGCCAUUCGGACUUUCAUCAUGCUGGUUUCCAGUUUUGAUGAAGGAAAGUCUUGCGAACCUUAUCAUUUAGAGGAAGGAGAAGUCGUAACA